rnacentral:rRNA from 1 species
UACGAAGGGGGCGAGCGUUGUUCGGAAUUACUGGGCGUAAAGGGCGCGUAGGCGGCGACCCAAGUCAGAUGUGAAAGUCCUGGGCUUAACCUGGGGACUGCAUUUGAUACUGGGUUGCUUGAAUUCGGGAGAGGAUAGCGGAAUUCCCAGUGUAGAGGUGAAAUUCGUAGAUAUUGGGAAGAACACCGGUGGCGAAGGCGGCUAUCUGGACCGACAUUGACGCUGAGGCGCGAAAGCGUGGGUAGCAAACAGG